AUUGAACGCUGGCGGCAGACUUAACACAUGCAAGUCGAACGAGUGGCGGACGGGUGAGUAAUGCUUGGGAAUCUAGCUUAUGGAGGGGGAUAACUACGGGAAACUGUAGCUAAUACCGCGUACCAAAGGAUGAGCCCAAGUGGGAUUAGGUAGUUGGUGGGGUAAAGGUUCACCAAGCCGACGAUCUCUAGCUGGUCUGAGAGGAUGACCAGCAAAACUGGGACUGAUACACGGCCCAGACUCCUACGGGAGGCAGCAGUGGGGAAUAUUGCGCAAUGGGGGCAACCUGACGCAGCCAUUCCGCGUGAAUGAAGAAGGCCUUCGGGUUGUAAAGUUCUUUCGGUAGCGAGGCGUUAACUACAGAAGAAGCACCGGCUAACUCCGUGCCAGCAGCCGCGGUAAUUC
rnacentral:rRNA from 1 species